rnacentral:lncRNA from 13 species
GUUCAGGCUGGAACUGUAAUCUUUCCACCCACCCCUUUCCCGUCAGGUAAAGAAAAUGUUCAUACCUCAGGUUUUGUUACCAAGCAACAGAGUUGCUUUUGCCAAUUGCCACCAUUUCCUUCUCAUAGUAUUACAGGCCUUAUUAUUAACAUUUAGUUCAGAGAAAUUGCUGUCAUUAUGUGAAGUAACUUCCUUUAGAGGUUAUUCAUUAACCUUAGGUAUUUUACUGUGUAAUUAUAAUUGCCAAGUGCUGCAGGCUUGGAAAACGUUUGAACUCCUGAAGGUAUUAGGGGACGGCAGAAAGGAUAUUAUCUGAUUUUUCUUCCUUUUCCAGUUAAGGAUUAAUCAAGGUGGGUGCUCUAUUUCCCCUGUAGAGGUAUCUACUUUUCCAAAAGAAUAAACUCUUCCCUUGCCUUUGUCCAGACUGUCCACCUUAAACUUAGAAGCAAACCUUGGAGGAACUUGCCUGUUAGCAUGUGAUUUUCACAAGUUCUGUAGGGCAGAGUGCAAAUUGCUCCCCCCUUGCCUUAGGAAAAAAAUCGAGGGGAUACUGAGAAGACCCAGUGGUUGAUAAAUGGUUGGCAGGCAUACUCGUCAUACGUGGGGCUCUGUGAAGACCUUGCACAAUGCCUGGAAUUGUAUAUUGUGCACAACCUCGUUCCGACCAACAGAAGACCUUCAUCCUAUUGCUCACUCGAUGGCUCCCUGAAAGUAGUUUUUCACUCCCUAGCUUUGCAGGAUCCAGGUGUGCAUUUCAUAAUACGCCUAUUAUACAGCCAUUCUCAGUAGCCAUUGCUUAUACAAUGACCCUUCUGAUUUGUCCCACUGCAGUGUGGGUGCCAACGACUCAGGUCCCCACCCAGUACAACUUCAGGUAUGCAUUUCACAUAUAUUCCCAGGCAAAAAAUGCACCUCCCUCUUCUUCUGCCUUUGUUUCAAGACAAAAGUAACUGGCAUUUCACCCCGCCCUCUCCCCGCCAGCCCCCAACUACAUGUGCCUGCAGCACGGGCGCCCUAGAAAGGGAAACCUGUUUUCCUCCUCCCAGGUUUCUGGUUUCUCCACCCAGUCUCCCCACAGUCCUCCACUUCCCGUACCCAGUCGUUCCGGCCUCUACCCAGACUCUGAGAAGUGGCCUGACAUUCCAGAGCGCGAGCCCUGUGAAAAUGAGAACCUCAUCUGUCUCCUUCACCACUGGAACUCCAGCAUCCAGAAUAGUCCCUGGCCCUGCUGAGGUAUUCCAAAAAUAUUAG